UGAUCCAGAUCGUUUCUCAGCAGAUGCUAAGGCUGAUCUCCCAUUGUUUUGUUUUGAACCGUUUGGAUUUGCUGGCCGCAGAAGAUGCCCAGGAUUCAAAUAUACAUACAUAGAAAUCUGCUCUGUCGUGGCAGUGCUGCUACAAAAAUUCACAGUGCACAUGGUGGAAGGUAUAGUGGCGACACCUAUUUACGGAUUGGUGACCCACCCUGAAGACGAAGUCUGGGUGACUGUCAGUAAGAGGAAAUAAAUCAACAUGAAUCUCAGGAAUGUGGUCCAUCGUUUUCAACUUGUGAUUUUUUGAAGUGGUAGUGGUGUCCCCUUAAAAUUACAUCCAUGAAAGAAGAGGCAAAAAAGAAAUGGGGAAUGAACAACCUGAAGUUGCAAAAACGUAAUGUAAUAAUACAAUGCAGUUGCCAAAUGUGCUUUUUGAGCCUGCAUUUUUUGACUUGAGAGGGAGUAUCUAACACAGCUGUGGAAAGAAAAUUGUUCUAUAUAUCUUUAAAAGAUGUAGGAGAUAAGAAGUUCUAAAACAAGACGACCCUGUCGGAUUCUAAAGCUGGCUAUAUUGCAUUGCACCAGUGCAAUUAAAACAAAAAUGGAGUUUAUUUUUUGCUUAUACUAGUAUUACGAUAAUUGCUGUAAGUUAUACUGAUGGUAAGAUAGUGAAGCAUUGCCAUUUUAUUCA